UGAACUAGCGGAUUCAUAUCCUGUAAUUAUAUUAAUUGUAUUAAGAUUAUUUCCAGAAAUUGAUAUUGAAAUUUUCUAUCAACAAAAAACAAUACUAAAAAAAGCAAAUUUAUUAAUUAUUUAAAAAAAUUUCUACAUAAACGAAAUUGUCGACAAAAAUAUAGAUGCCAAUUUCUCGUAAAUAUAACUUACCAAAAUUAAGAUGCAUCCAUAGUUUCAAAUAAAAAGAGGUGCUUAAAGGGGCUUGGCCUCCAAAAAUGCACCCAUGUUCCUCAAAUCAAAUUUAAUUAAGUACAUAUAAAGUGUAUAUAAACAAUAUUUUGUGAUGCUAAGCUUCUUUUAUUUAUAUAUUUGGUCCAUUCACACUUAUUAUAGAUACAUCUUAAUAGUUUAAAGCUUUUCACUGUCUGUUUAAUGUAUUAUUUUUAGAGGUCUACUCGAAAUAAUAUUAUAUUCCAAUAAUCUGUGUUUCUAUAAAAAUAGAUUUGAUUUUUU